rnacentral:sRNA from 1 species
UUGGCACCAUCUUUUCAACCUAAACUAACCUACAGUUUUGACCUAUUAAAUUGCCACAGUUUGACAUUAUUUUUGAAGGUGAGAAGUGUGUCUUUCAAGCGAGUGGUCGUUUGUCAAAUUUAGAAUCAUUUAUGUCAAAAAUAUAAAUCAUGCAAAUUUUAAAUUGAAAUUUACCAAAAAACUUCAGGUGAUUCGGGUUAAGGAGCAGCGGGGAUACUUCUCUCUUAUCAGUUAGUGCUGUCCGAUACAAGUCAAGUCAAUGAGGAACCUCCAUUUUAUUGCCGACUCUGAACGGAUUGCCGCAGAGCGACACCACUUUAGUAGUACCUAAGGUACCCGGGGCGGGAUAACUAUGAUUACCACAUAGGCUACAAGCUUUCAACAUUAUCAUGAGAAGCUCAGCUGGGAGCUAACGGUAGCGUCCACAAAUUGCGGAUAAUUCAAUGUUCCAUCAGCGGCAUCGAGUGUCACAGAUCCCGAUCGGCGCCAGAUCUUGCUUAAAUACAGAGUGCACAGGAAGCUCGAUAUGACGAGGCGAGUUAUUGACGUCUUUAAAUAACCAAUGGACAUCACGUUCCCGCGUCGAUAGGUCUUUUGGACCGGAACCAGCUUGCUCACCUAUAGAAGCUUGAGGAGGAGCGCUACCUCCAAAAACAAAUGUGGCUAAAAAAGCAGCCCAUAUAAGAAAAAUUGAAUUUUGAUAAGCUAGCUAAACAGUUCGGCUUCCAAAGAGAGCGAGCGAGAGAGAGCUUUCCCAAAAAAUUGAACUUCUUUCUUGGUUGUUAAAAAAGUCAACACACACACACAGAGAUUCGAUAUUUUACAACUAACCAUUGCCAUGAGAUGGAUGGUGGAGGUAAUAUGUACACACGAAACUAAAAAUGCAUGUACAUAUAUACGUACAUAUAUAGUUUACUAUUUACAGAAAUGACUUCAAACCUACAGAAAUCACAUCAUGUGGCCAACAUGCGCAUGACAGAAGAAAGGCAAACGUAAAGUGAAACAAAUAAACACCAGAAAAUGGUUACUGUAAACACGGAGACGCUGUGAGACACACGUAUGUAUGUAUUAAGCUGAGAGAAGAGAUUAUAAUACACCAUGAAAAUUACCUAAUAUACAAUGGAGCUUUGUAUUUCUUCCUUUCGAGACGACGACUCGGCAGUAGAUGUUUUGUGUCUGCUGCAGCUAUCCCCCACAGAAAGCGAAACAAAAACAGAAAACACAACAAAACAAGUUAGAAACUGGACAACGUGAAUCUAAAUCGAAUUGGAGUGACAGCGACGUUGUGAGGUGGCUGGCGGUUUAUGGUUGUUGUUUUUAUUUGCCAAGGCAAAUGCGACGAUGAUUGUACGACUUGACUUUUUGUGGUCUUUAAUUUGUAGAUUAUUCUAUAUUGCUGCAGUUGUUGUUGUGCGCUUUUUUCAGCUUUCCUUGUUUUGUGUGCAAAUUGGAAUUUAAUUUAUUUUGAGCUUACUUAGAACAUGCAUCGGAAAAAAUUAACACAAUUGUAAAAAAAACAAACACAAUACAAUAAUCGUAGCCGAAUUUAUACUUUAAGUGCUGUUGAUUUUGUUUUGCACCUGACACUCAUGUAUGUGUGUAAGUUUACGAUCUAUUAUUUAGAUUUCUUUAUUUUGAACAGUGACAGCAAAAGUGCGCGCGCGUUUAUAAAAAUGAACUGCCGGAUAAAGAAGUUUUUUCACAAGAAUAAUUAGCAUUUUCUAUCGCUAUGUGUAUCACUACUUGUGUAUUUUCGAUACAUUUCUUUUUUGAUAAAAAUCUUCUUGUUGCUAAUGAUGUUUUUAACAUCUGCUUUCAUUCCUCACAAACAUUGGUUGUUCACUCAUUGUUUACACAUUUUUGAUAGAUAUUUUCGGUAAAAUCAAGGAGGAAACAACUCCUACUGAUAAUUGUGUCGUCUGCUAUUUUGCUUUAUUUUUAUUUCGUUUUUUUUUUUGUCACCUGAAAAUGUUGAUUAUCAUUCAAUCACUCACACAAUUGCACAAAUACACAUACACACAGGUGAUGUGAAAAAUCACUCUUUGUCGAUAUAUCUUUAUAGGCCUUAAAAUUCACUAAAACCAAUAUUUGCAGUUCGCGUUUAUUACAUUUCUAAUUAAUUGUCCUUCUUACUGAAGUACGACAAAUUCCAAUAAAAAAUUUGCGUUUCUGAAUUGUUUAGCUUAAACUCAUUCGUAGUUCGACCUUCUGUACUUGUGUUACACAAUUUGAAACAUGCUUGCUAUAUUCCACCACACUGCAAAAUGGUAUUACAUUAACUUAUUUCUUUCCAUUAAAAUCGGAACUUCUAUUAAUUAAUGCAUAUUCCAUAAACUUUUGGCAAUAAAAGAGUAAAGUUUUGACUACAAUAGGACUGAUGGACAUCCGAAAAUCCGUUCUCAACCGAAAAUCACCACAAAA